UACAGAGGUGGCAAGCGUUGUUCGGAAUUACUGGGCGUAAAGGGCGCGUAGGCGGCCUUGUAAGUCUCGUGUGAAAGCCCUCGGCUUAACUGAGGAUCUGCACGGGAUACUGCGAGGCUUGAGUUCGGGAGAGGAAAGCGGAAUUCCGGGUGUAGCGGUGAAAUGCGUAGAUAUCCGGAGGAACACCAGUGGCGAAAGCGGCUUCCUGGACCAGUACCGACGUUCAGGCACGAAAGCGUGGGGAGCAAACAGG
rnacentral:rRNA from 1 species